rnacentral:rRNA from 1 species
UACAGAGGGUGCGAGCGUUAAUCGGAAUUGACUGGGCGUAAAGCGUGCGCAGACGGUCAUGUAAGUCGGGUGUGAAAGCCCCGGGCUCAACCUGGGAAUUGCAUUCGAGACUGCAUGGCUAGGGUGCGGAAGAGGGAAGCGGAAUUUCCGGUGUAGCGGUGAAAUGCGUAGAUAUCGGAAGGAACACCGAGUGGCGAAAGCGGACUUCCUGGUCCAGCACCGACGUUCAGGCACGAAAGCGUGG